rnacentral:rRNA from 1 species
AUUGAACUCUGGAGGCAGGCCUACCACAUGCACGUCGAACGAGUGGCGGACGGGUGAGUAAUGUCUGGGAAACUGCCCGAUGGAGGGGGAUAACUACUGGCAACGGUAGAUAAUACUGCCUGCCAUCGGAUGUGCCCAGUUGGGAUUAGCUAGUAGGUGGGGUAAUGGCUCACCUAGGCGACGCUCCCUAGCUGGUCUGAGAGGGUGACCAGCCACACUGGAACGGGAACACGGUCCAGACUCCUACGGGAGGCAGCAGUGGGGAAUAUUGCACAAUGGGCGCAAGCCUGAUGCAGCCAUGCCGCGUGGAUGAAGAAGGCCUUCGGGUUGUAAAGGACUUUCAGCGGGGAGGCGUUACUCGCAGAAGAAGCACCGGCUAACUCCGUGCCAGCAGCCGCGGUAAUUC